AACGUAGGACACAAGCGUUAUCCGGAGUUACUGGGCGUAAAGGGCGUGUAGGCGGAGGUAUAAGUCUAUUCUGAAAGCUCCUGGCUAAACUGGGAGAGGCGAAUGGAGACUGUAUGUCUAGAGUGAGGAAGAGGAAAGUGGAAUUCCGCGUGUAGUGGUGAAAUGCGUAGAGAUGCGGAGGAACACCAGUGGCGAAAGCGACUUUCUGGUCCUUAACUGACGCUGAGGCGCGAAAAGCAUGGGGGAGCGAACGGGG
rnacentral:rRNA from 1 species